GAUGAACGCUGGCGGCGUGCCUAAUACAUGCAAGUCGAGCGAACAGAUAAGGAGCUUGCUCCUUUGACGUUGGCGGCGGACGGGUGAGUAACACGUGGGUAACCUACCUAUAAGACUGGGAUAACUUCGGGAAACCGGAGCUAAUACCGGAUAACAUUUGGAACCGCAUGGUUCUAAAGUGAAAGAUGGUUUUGCUAUCACUUAUAGAUGGACCCGCGCCGUAUUAGCUAGUUGGUAAGGUAACGGCUUACCAAGGCGACGAUACGUAGCCGACCUGAGAGGGUGAUCGGCCACACUGGAACUGAGACACGGUCCAGACUCCUACGGGAGGCAGCAGUAGGGAAUCUUCCGCAAAGGGCGAAAGCCUGACGGAGCAACGCCGCGUGAGUGAUGAAGGGUUUCGGCUCGUAAAACUCUGUUAUUAGGGAAGAACAAACGUGUAAGUAACUGUGCACGUCUUGACGGUACCUAAUCAGAAAGCCACGGCUAACUACGUG
rnacentral:rRNA from 1 species